rnacentral:rRNA from 1 species
AAAUUGAAGAGUUUGAUCAUGGCUCAGAUUGAACGCUGGCGGCAGGCCUAACACAUGCAAGUCGAACGGUAACAGGAAGCAGCUUGCUGCUUCGCUGACGAGUGGCGGACGGGUGAGUAAUGUCUGGGAAACUGCCUGAUGGAGGGGGAUAACUACUGGAAACGGUAGCUAAUACCGCAUAACGUCGCAAGACCAAAGAGGGGGACCUUCGGGCCUCUUGCCAUCGGAUGUGCCCAGAUGGGAUUAGCUAGUAGGUGGGGUAACGGCUCACCUAGGCGACGAUCCCUAGCUGGUCUGAGAGGAUGACCAGCCACACUGGAACUGAGACACGGUCCAGACUCCUACGGGAGGCAGCAGUGGGGAAUAUUGCACAAUGGGCGCAAGCCUGAUGCAGCCAUGCCGCGUGUAUGAAGAAGGCCUUCGGGUUGUAAAGUACUUUCAGCGGGGAGGAAGGGAGUAAAGUUAAUACCUUUGCUCAUUGACGUUACCCGCAGAAGAAGCACCGGCUAACUCCGUGCCAGCAGCCGCGGUAAUACGGAGGGUGCAAGCGUUAAUCGGAAUUACUGGGCGUAAAGCGCACGCAGGCGGUUUGUUAAGUCAGAUGUGAAAUCCCCGGGCUCAACCUGGGAACUGCAUCUGAUACUGGCAAGCUUGAGUCUCGUAGAGGGGGGUAGAAUUCCAGGUGUAGCGGUGAAAUGCGUAGAGAUCUGGAGGA